UAUGCAUAAUACAUGCAAGUCGAACGAAAAAGGUCUUCGGGCCUUUUUAGUGGCAAACGGGCGAGUAACACAUAUUUAACUUGCUCAUCCGAGGAGAAUAGCAGCCCGAAAGGGCUAUUAAUACGCCAUAGUUUUAAAUUAGUGAAUUAAUUUAAAUUAAAGGAGGCUGCCGAAAGGUGGCCUCGCGGAUGAAUAGGAAUAUGUCCUAUUAGGUCGUUGGAGAGGUAAUGGCUCACCAAGCCGAUGAUGGGUAGCUGGACUGAGAGGUUGAACAGCCGCAAUGGGAUUGAGAAAUGGCCCAUAUUCCUACGGGAAGCAGCAGUGAGGAAUUUUUCACAAUGGACGAAAGUCUGAUGGAGCAAUACCACGUGAACGAUGAAGGUCUUCUGAUUGUAAAGUUCUUUUAUUUAGGAAAAAAAGCGCGGCAGGAAAUGGCCGCGCCUUGAUUGUACUAAUUGAAUAAGUGACAGCUAACUAUGUGCCAGCAGCUGCGGUAAAACAUAGGUCACGAGCAUUAUCCGGAUUUAUUGGGCGUAAAGGAAGCGUAGGCUGAAAUGUGUAUUCAUUGUUAAAAAUAUUUGCUUAACAAGUGUUCGCGGUGAAGAUUACAUUUCUAGAAUUAGUUAGAGGGUACUGGAAUUCAAUGUGUAGUGGUGGAAUACGUAGAUAUAUUGAGGAACACCAGAGGCUAAGGCGAGUGCCUGGAACAUAAUUGACGCUGAGGCUUGAAAGCGUGGGUAGCAAAUGGGAUUAGAUACCCCAGUAGUCCACGCCGUAAACGAUGGGUAUUAGUCAUUUGGAUUUAAGACUGAGUGAUGUAGCUAACGCGUUAAAUACCCCGCCUGGGUAGUAUAUAUGCAAAUAUGAAACUCAAAGAAAUUGACGGGGACCUGAACAAGUGGUGG
rnacentral:rRNA from 1 species